rnacentral:rRNA from 1 species
GACGAACGCUGGCGGCGUGCUUAACACAUGCAAGUCGAACGGAAAGGCCCUGCUUUUGUGGGUUGCUCGAGUGGCGAACGGGUGAGUAACACGUGAGUAACCUGCCCUUGACUUUGGGAUAACUUCAGGAAACUGGGGCUAAUACCGGAUAGGAGCUCCUGCUGCAUGGGGGGGGUUGGAAAGUUUCGGCGGUUGGGGAUGGACUCGCGGCUUAUCAGCUUGUUGGUGGGGUAGUGGCUUACCAAGGCUUUGACGGGUAGCCGGCCUGAGAGGGUGACCGGCCACAUUGGGACUGAGAUACGGCCCAGACUCCUACGGGAGGCAGCAGUGGGGAAUAUUGCACAAUGGGCGGAAGCCUGAUGCAGCAACGCCGCGUGCGGGAUGACGGCCUUCGGGUUGUAAACCGCUUUCGCCUGUGACGAAGCGUGAGUGACGGUAAUGGGUAAAGAAGCACCGGCUAACUACGUG